rnacentral:rRNA from 1 species
GACGAACGCUGGCGGCGUGCUUAACACAUGCAAGUCGAACGGUAAGGCCCUUCGGGGUACACGAGUGGCGAACGGGUGAGUAACACGUGGGUGAUCUGCCCUGCACUUCGGGAUAAGCCUGGGAAACUGGGUCUAAUACCGGAUAGGACCACUGCCUGCAUGGGUGGUGGUGGAAAGCCUUUGCGGUGUGGGAUGGGCCCGCGGCCUAUCAGCUUGUUGGUGGGGUGAUGGCCUACCAAGGCGACGACGGGUAGCCGGCCUGAGAGGGUGACCGGCCACACUGGGACUGAGAUACGGCCCAGACUCCUACGGGAGGCAGCAGUUAGGAAUAUUGGACAAUGGGGGAAGCCCUGAUCCAGCCAUGCCGCGUGUGUGAUGAAGGCCCUAGGGUUGUAAAGCACUUUCGUUGGGGAUGAUAAUGACCGUACCCAAAGAAGAAGCCACGGCUAAAUUCGUGCCAGCCGCCGCCGUAA